rnacentral:lncRNA from 1 species
UCCACAAAGGGUCCCACCCACAAGAAAGGCUGGCUAAUGUCAUUACUACAGAUUGUGUAUAGAAACAAGUAGCUUCCCCACCAAAGGCGGCUUCCGGAGGGUGAUGGGUAAAACCCACCUUUAUCCAACUUCAACCAACUCUUCGUCUUCUUUGCCACUAGAGAUCAUUCUCUUACAGCUAUUUCCAGAACUGGAUGCUGCCCACCCAACACAUCAGAGCUGCAAAAGCCAGGAGGCACAUGCAAGGCAGUUCAGACCUGCACUGGACCCCACCCACACUCACAGAACACGGAACUUGGACAGAGCCACCGACAGGACAGGGGUUCAAUACAGAAACACAAACUCUGUGUUGAACUGAAAGUGUAAUAAGCAGCACGUGGCCCCGAAUCCUAAAGUCCCUCCUCUCCUUCACCCAUCCACAGCCUGUCUCAUGGCAGAAUUCUGCUCCCACCAGACUGAAGCUGGGCUUCCAGGAAGCCAAUGCAAGCAGUCUCUGUAGCUGAGACUCAGGGCUUCCUCCAAGGUUGGUCUCCUGCAGCAGUUAUGCAGAGAUCCAAGUCAAAUUCAGAUAUCUUAAACCAAAAGGAACAGAGUGCGGAUUUCACAAUGAAAUUCACUUGCCAGGAAAGCGUCCGAAGGAACACUAGGUCCCUCCUUCUCCCUCCAUUCUCAACCUUCUCCCAUGAAGACCUAACAGUCUCAUUUAAUCAUUCAUUCCGUGUAAAGCUGUUACCUACAGCGCCAGCAUCCUAUAGGGGCGCUGGUUUGAGUCCCAGCUGCUCUAUUUCCAACCCAUUUCUCUGUUAAUGUGCCUGGGAAAGCAGAAGAGGAUGGCCCACGUGCUUGGACCCUGAAAGCAUGUUGGAGAUGGGGAAGAAGCCCCUGACUCCUGGCUUCAGCCUGGCCCAGUCAUCUAGGGAGGGAGCCAGUGGCUGACAAAUCUCUCUCUGUCUCUUCCUCUAUGUAACUCUGACUUUCAAUAAAUAAAGAUAUUUUUAAAAAUCA